rnacentral:lncRNA from 1 species
AAAUAAAUAAAACUUUAAAUAAACGGCCCAAAAGAUUUCAGAUAGCCAAAAACUAAACAAAAUAUCUAGAUAUUAGUAUAGAAUAAUCUAGAACGACAUUUAAUGCGCCGAACCAGUGCCCAAUCAGAAUUUGCUGAAUUCUGUCAUCUCAUCUUUCCAUCAUUUCACUACCUAGUUGACGAUUUCAAUCUUUAGAAAACUUUUCCUUUCAAAACAUUUCAUUUUCCUUUUUGUUUUGAACCUUUCUCUCUUCAUUUCGUCAUCACUGAAAGCUUUCCUAGUCUGGUUCACACAUCCAAUCGAACCUUUUUUUUGUUUUUUAGCGUACUCAAGGACCUCCAUUUCCAAGUAUAUCUCCUUUUGUCUUUUUAAGUUUCUGUUGCAAGAAUAUGUGCAAGAGUUUUUGCAGAUCUCGAUGUAUGUUUGAAUCUGAUAUUAUUAUAACCAUUUAUCUUCUGUUGGAUAUCAUAGAUAUAUGCCCCUACCAGUAAUCGAUCUUGACCCUUUGUGUUGCAUUUUUUUAUUAUUGCAAGGGAAUCUCCUUCGAAGAUGAUUGACUGCCAUCCAUUUUCGGCUCCUAUUUGAACUGCUUUCCAAUAGGCUAUUGCUUCAGCAGCAAAUAUAGAAGUUAUACCAUUAUGGAUCUCUGAGCAGGAUAAAAUAAUUUUUCCUUCCGCAUCUCUAACCACAAUAUCUGAAACUGAACGAUUUUGACUCCCGUUGUAUGCACUGUCGAAGUUAAUCUUGAUGAACUCACAAUGUGGGUGUCUCAAUCUUCUAUUUUCUGUUAUUCUUACUGAUUUUUUCGAAACCAGUAAGUUCAGUAAUGUACUCACUGAUGAAGUUUGCAAUUUCCUUUCCAUUAGUAACUCUCUUUUCAUGUAUUCUUUUGCUUCGAUCUCCCCAUAGGGCCCAAAGUGCACAAUAGGAAAUGCGACAUUGACAAGGGGUAAACUGCUCAAACACCCAAGUAAGCCACUCUACAAAGCCCAUGUUUUGAAUCAUUAAAAUAUUAUGAAGUGAUAAUGUUGUCCAUACUUCCACUGUAACAAGAUUUUCUCAGAAUAUAUGGUCCAUCGUUUCAGCUCUUUCUCCAUAUCGGGGGCAGCUUGUGUUGGUUGCCAACUUCCUGUACUGCAUAUUUACCUUUGUAGGCAAAUAAUUCCAUGAGAGUCUCCAGAUUGUAAUCUUUAUUUUUUUUGGUAGAUUUAGGCUCCAAAGUUUUUUUUGUAAAAUUUCCUGUAGAUAGUUUGUACAAUGUAAGCUCUAGGAUUUUCAUCAGAACUCUGUUAUAGUUUAUAGGCACUUUAGACUAAGAAUUCACCCGACGUUUCUCCCCCAGAUGAGGAAGUCCUCGUAAGGUGUUCAUGCCAAGGGGAUCCGAAGGACUCUUCCAGUGUCUUCUUCUGUGAAUGUACUAUUUUCCAGCUCCCUCUUCUAAAGUCUAUUAUUGCUAUCAAUAAACUCAUUUACUUUAAAAUCACGCAUAGAAUUGAUCGCUAUAGAUAAUCUAAAAUUAAUUGCAUCUGGAAUCCAAAAAUCAUUAUCAAUGG